rnacentral:rRNA from 1 species
UACGAAGGGGGCUAGCGUUGCUCGGAAUCACUGGGCGUAAAGCGCACGUAGGCGGCUUUCUAAGUCAGGGGUUAAAUCCUGGAGCUCAACUCCAGAACUGCCUUUGAUACUGGAGAGCUUGAGUCCGGAAGAGGUGAGUGGAACUCCGAGUGUAGAGGUGAAAUUCGUAGAUAUUCGGAAGAACACCAGUGGCGAAGGCGGCUCACUGGUCCGGUACUGACGCUGAUGUGCGAAAGCGUGGGGAGCAAACAGG